rnacentral:ncRNA from 1 species
CCUCGGGGUGCCUGUCCUUCCGGACUGGCUGAGAUGCGCAAGCGGACCCGUUGAACCUGAACCGGUUAAGACCGGCGGAGGGAAGGUU